rnacentral:rRNA from 1 species
CCUACGGGAGGCUGCAGUGGGGAAUAUUGGACAAUGGGCGAAAGCCUGAUCCAGCCAUGCCGCGUGUGUGAAGAAGGCCUUCGGGUUGUAAAGCACUUUCAGUGGGGAAGAAAGCCUUGGGGCUAAUACCCUCGAGGAAGGACAUUACCCACAGAAGAAGCACCGGCUAACUCCGUGCCAGCAGCCGCGGUAAUACGGAGGGUGCGAGCGUUAAUCGGAAUUACUGGGCGUAAAGCGCGCGUAGGCGGUCUGAUAAGCCGGUUGUGAAAGCCCCGGGCUCAACCUGGGAACGGCAUCCGGAACUGUCAGGCUAGAGUGCAGUAGAGGAAGGUAGAAUUCCCGGUGUAGCGGUGAAAUGCGUAGAGAUCUGGAGGAAUACCAGUGGCGAAGGCGGCCUUCUGGACUGACACUGACGCUGAGGUGCGAAAGCGUGGGUAGCAAACAGGAUUAGAUACCCUAGUAGUC